rnacentral:rRNA from 1 species
UACGGGGGGGGGCAAGCGUUGUUCGGAAUUACUGGGCGUAAAGGGCUCGUAGGCGGCCAACUAAGUCGGAUGUGAAAUCCCCAGGCUUAACCUGGGAACUGCAUCCGAUACUGGAUGGCUUGAAUCCGGGAGAGGGAUGCGGAAUUCCAGGUGUAGCGGUGGAAUGCGUAGAUAUCUGGAGGAACACCGGUGGCGAAGGCGGCAUCCUGGACCGGCAUUGACGCUGAGGAGCGAAAGCCAGGGGGAGCAAACGGGG